CGCGGUCCUCGGUAGUGGUCUCCGGAACGCCACGACGGCCGUUCCGUGGAUCUCGAUCGAAGACCGGG
rfam:Arthrobacter agilis strain 4042 Contig34, whole genome shotgun sequence.